CAGUAGCCGCGGUAAUACAGAGGAUGCAAGCGUUAUCCGGAAUGAUUGGGCGUAAAGCGUCUGUAGGUGGCUUUUCAAGUCCGCCGUCAAAUCUCAGGGCUCAACCCUGGACAGGCGGUGGAAACUACCAAGCUGGAGUACGGUAGGGGCAGAGGGAACUUCCGGUGGAGCGGUGAAAUGCGUUGAGAUCGGAAGGAACACCUGUGGCGAAAGCGGCUCACUGGACAAUAACUGACGCUGAUGCACGAAAGCUAGGGGAGCAAACAGGAUUAGAUACCCGUGUAGUCCCUGUCUCUUAUAA
rnacentral:rRNA from 1 species